GUGCGCUGGGAUCCUAACACUCGGGUGGCCGAGAGGGCGAUGUGGCUGAGGCAACAGGGAAAGGGGGCUGGACUGGGCUGGGGGCUGGAGGAGGGGCCAGUCCCGAGGGGACGGGGCUCCAACCUCACCUUCCUGCUGUCGUGGAGAAGAAAAGUGGUAAUGACCGCUACUGUGCACUGGGCUCUCGCUCUGUGCUUUGCUUGUGUUUGCUCAGUUAAUCCUCCCAACAUGCCUCUAAGCCACCUAUGGGCAACAAGGUCUCCAAGGAAACUCCAGAACAUUCUGUGGGUUUCAGUGGUUACCUGCUGAGGCGGCAUUGGGCAUGGAGCAUCCGAGGGUCCAAGAUGAGGAAACUGCCGCUCAGAGACGGCAGCCGACCCAGCCAAGGCCGCACAGCCAGGAUUCAAAGCCAUACCGCUCAGCUCCUGCCUCCAGGCUCUGCCUUUGCAUGUGGCUUCUCCUGGCUCCUGGACCCUUCCCCGGCCCUCCCAGCUGGCUGUGCUGUGACAGUGGGCGGGGGAGUGCCAAGGCUCUGCCCUGCCCCCCGCCCUUGGCAUCUCCGGUCAAUAUGGCACUCACAGCUCCCUGGGCAUGGACCCCCUCCUGCCAUCCCCACUUAAAGUGAUACUUUAAUAAAUUAUGCUUUUAUGUUAUUACACGUGGAGCUAUAAAAGCAGAGAGUGUGCGGCCGGGCUGAGGUAAGGCGCCCGCGACUUUCCAAUUUCCUGGUCUGGCCUGGCUCUGCUCCGCACCGUGAAUUUUUCAUUAAUGUGCACAGGUGACGCCACGGGGCAGCCGCAGGCCAGUCAUAGUUACAGAGGCAAUGGACACAUUGAAGAGAGGAAAGAAAACAAACACGACCUAGAAUCUACGGGGAAGGAAGCCUUCUAGACUCCAGACCUUCCGUGUCCAGAAGUGUCAGUCUUCACAUCUGUGAGGUGGGGCCAAGGAGUCCUGCCCUGCCAUGCUGGGUGUUGACUUCGGGGAAGGGGCCUUGGGAUGUCUAUGAGGAUGCAGCUGCUGCCUUCUGUCUUGGCAGAGACCAUGGCCACCCCAGGACACCGUGUUUGGUCCCCGCUGUGCUAAGUCUCCUCCAGGCACCAGCCAGGCAUCAGUGGAGCACAGCGGAAAUGGGUCCAAAGCCACCCACAGAGGCUCUGUGUGGUUCUUGGAUAAUUCUGGAAGGCUCUAGAGAAGGCAACAAGAAGGCAGGAACCCAGGGCCAGAAACUGGACAACUUGUGUGUGUUUGUCUGUAAAGUGGGGCUAGGAAUCCGCGUGGGGGUCAAAUGAGAACAGCUCUGCCUCCCAGCGCACAGUCCCGCGUCGAGGUCAGAGAGCCUCUUAGGCCCUGGCUCUUUUGGGAAAUCAUCCCAGGGGCUAAAGACAAAACUGAAGUUGAAAUAAACAUGGGGGUCCAAACACUCCAGAAUUCUGAGUGAGGGAAUCUCCUCCCAGGCUUCCACGCCAGGCCCGAAUGCAAACAAGAGGCAGCAGGGGUGGCUUGGGCCCCUCACACAGAAUUAGUGAGAUUAGCUGAGAACCAGAGCCCAGCAGAUGUCCCCUCUCUGGACUCGGUGACUCACUUGCCUCCCUGGUUGAGAAUCGUAUCCGGCUGGGCCUGAGCUGUCCUGGCUGGCGGGGAGCUGGACGCAGGGCAGAGGUCGGGGUAAACACCCGUGCUCCAGGCGGGAGGUCGGGAUGGGGGUGGUGACAAGGAGGACAACAUUUCCACUCAGCAGAAAGAAGAGCCUGAGCUGCCCUAGAGCCGGAGGCGCUGCCUGGAGAGGUCGUGAGGACCCGGUCCCAGAGGUGUGCAAGCUGGGUACCCUUUGAAGACUAUAGGAGGAUUCCAGUUGGCGCUGGGAGUACUCCAGGCAGGAUGCCAGUUCAGGUCCUUCGUGCAUGAGACUCUCCCAGAGAGGCAGGCAAACAUUUUCUGGGAAGGGCCAGAUAGUAAAUAUUUCAGGUUUUGCGGGUCAUCCUGCUAUCUCUGUUGCAACUGCUCAACUCUGCCACUGUAGCUUGGAAGCAGCUACAGACAAUACAUAAAUGAAUGGAUGUGGG
rnacentral:lncRNA from 10 species